rnacentral:rRNA from 1 species
UUGAACGCUGGCGGUAUGCUUAACACAUGCAAGUCGAACGGUAACAGGUCUAGCUUGCUAGAUGCUGACGAGUGGCGGACGGGUGAGUAACGCGUAGGAACCUGUCUAUCAGAGUGGGACAACACGGGGAAACUCGUGCUAAUACCACAUACGUUCUAAGGAAGAAAGGCUGGAGCAAUCCAGUUGCUGAUAGGGGGGCCUGCGUUGGAUUAGCUAGUUGGUGGGGUAAUGGCCUACCAAGGCGACGAUCCAUAGCUGUUCUGAGAGGAAGAUCAGCCACACUGGGACUGAGACACGGCCCAGACUCCUACGGGAGGCAGCAGUGGGGAAUAUUGGACAAUGGGCGCAAGCCUGAUCCAGCAAUACCGCGUGUGUGAAGAAGGCCUGAGGGUUGUAAAGCACUUUCAGCGAGGAGGAAGGUAUUAAUGUUAAUAGUAUUAAUAUUUGACGUUACUCGCAGAAGAAGCACCGGCUAACUCUGU